rnacentral:rRNA from 1 species
AGGAUGAACGCUGGCGGCGUGCCUAACACAUGCAAGUCGAACGAAGCACUUUCGAUUUCUUCGGAAUGAAAAAGUGACUGAGUGGCGGACGGGUGAGUAACGCGUGGGUAACCUGCCUCAUACAGGGGGAUAACAGUUAGAAAUGACUGCUAAUACCGCAUAAGCGCACAGUACCGCAUGGUACAGUGUGAAAAACUCCGGUGGUAUGAGAUGGACCCGCGUCUGAUUAGCUAGUUGGUGAGGUAAUGGGCUCACCAAAGGCGACGAUCCAGUAGCCGGCCUGAGAGGGUGAUCGGCCACAUUGGGACUGAGACACGGCCCAAACUCCUACGGGAGGCAGCAGUGGGGAAUAUUGCACAAUGGGGGAAACCCUGAUGCAGCAACGCCGCGUGAGUGAAGAAAGUAUUUCGGUAUGUAAAGCUCUAUCAGCAGGGAAGAAAAUGACGGUACCUGACUAAGAAGCCCCGGCUAACUACGUG